CCAAGGAUUCCACUUCUGAGCCAUCCAUAAAUCCAGGGACCUAAUUAUUCUUUCGAGUGCAAUGAAGUGAAACAUAGAGCAUUCAAUCAGCUUUCGUAUGAUGACAAAUGGCAGAAAAGAAUCCAAUCCAAACAGAAAUAUUGUGGUGAGACCUGAGUCAGAUUCUCUGGCAGUGGUGAAGAUGGUCAUCAGAUUUGUCACUGUUCCACCAUAAUACCGAGCUCUCUUAAUAACGGAUUGUACAGCUUUGAGUCACACUCCUGUUUCAGUCCUGGUGGUCAGGGUUGCAUAGCACGAUAGAUAUUACUUUGGAUACCUCGCUGGAGUUCCUACCAUUUACUGGACAGAGGAAUGAGACGCUAAGCAAUAUGGUAUCAAAAUAUUUUCAUACUUUUAGCUGUGUUGACUUUCACUGACUUCAUAGGGAGAUUGUAGCAAUCUCCCAACGAUUGCAACUUUUGAAAAUGGAAGAGUAAAACAAAACCAUCUAUAAAAAAGUGGACAAUCUCAGCAGCAAGAGCAGAUAACUGGCAGACAUAAAAAAGGCAGAAAAUGCAGUCUCAACAUGAAAUGAUUACUGAGCUGAUCUUGCAAGAAACUUGAAAACGAAGGAGGAUUCAGCAUUUGGAGGGUCUGCAGAACUGGGUCCUAACUGAUGCAGACACAACAGUGAAAUGAGGACAGACACUUGGAUGGAUUUUAAGCAGCAGACUGCAACUUGUAUUAAAUUGAAAUACAGGAAUGGGAGUGCCACCUGCCCAUCAACCACACCAGGCAUUUAAUUGGUUCCAGUGUGGGGGUUACAGGACUCCUACCAUAUAACCUGUCACUUAGGGUAGGUUCUCCUCAGCCUACCACACACACACACUCAGCCCAUGAGGGGGAGAGAAGGUGCAGAAGGGUGGUGACCUCAGCCUCUGAGGACCAUAAGAUCUGACCUCAGCCCACAAGGUCAAACCCUAUUACAUGAGCCCAAGGCCCAUAAAAAAUCGUAGGUCUUUUACCUCUGGGAACCAUUCAUUUAAUCAUUUUUACCACUUUGGAAACCAGCCACAAGUUGCGAUGACUUAACAACUCGACCAAUUAUGUCAGUUAAGUACUAAGCGUAUGCCUACCUAACCUAUUGUGCUUUGAAGAUGCUGCAAGGAAGGGAAAAAAACUCCCAGGUCCUCUGCCAAUUGGCUCAUUGGAGAAAAAAUUCCUUCUGAGUCCCAAAUGGGUGAUUGGCUAGACCUACAGCCUCU